GACACAGGGAGGUAGUGACAAGAAAUAACAAUACAGGGCUAAUGUCUUGUAAUUGGAAUGAUGGUGACCCAAACCCUCACCAGAGUAGCAAUUGGAGGGCAAGUCUGGUGCCAGCAGCCGCGGUAAUUCCAGCUCCAAUAGCGUAUAUUAAACUUGUUGCAGUUAAAAAGCUCGUAGUUGAAUUUUAGCGUGUUCGAGUUUGCCAUUCGUUUGGCUUUUUCGAGUUCGCUUUUGGGUUUUCCCUUUUUACUUUGAGAAAAUUAGAGUGUUCCAAGCAGACUUUUGUCUUGAAUACUUCAGCAUGGAAUAAUAGAGUAGGACUUUGGUUCUAUUUUGUUGGUUAUUGAACCUUAGUAAUGGUUAAUAGGAACGGUUGGGGGCAUUCGUAUUUAACUGUCAGAGGUGAAAUUCUUAG
rnacentral:rRNA from 1 species